UCCGGUGACGAUAGCGCAGAGGAUCCACCUGUUCCCAUUCCGAACACAGAAGUUAAGCUCUGCUACGCCGAAAGUAGUUGGGUAUAAUGCCCCGCAAGGAUAGGUAGUUGCCGGAU
rnacentral:rRNA from 1 species